rnacentral:tRNA from 1 species
GGAUAGCUCAGUCGGUAGAGCACAAGACUUUGAAUCUCAGGGUUGUAGGUUUGAGCCCCACAUUAGGCA